rnacentral:rRNA from 1 species
CUACAGGGGUUUCUAAUCCUGUUUGCUCCCCUAGCUUUCGCACUUCAGCGUCAGUUACCGUCCAGUGAACUAUCUUCAUCAUCGGCAUUCCUGCACAUAUCUACGAAUUUCACCUCUACUCGUGCAGUUCCGUCCACCUCUCCGAUACUCUAGCCCUGUAGUUUCCGGGGCAGGCCUGCGGUUGAGCCGCAGGUUUUCACCCUAGACUUACAGGGCCGCCUAGAUGCCCUUUAUGCCCAAUAAUUCCGGAUAACGCUUGCGACAUACGUAUUACCGCGGCUGCUGGCAC